rnacentral:lncRNA from 1 species
CCUCUCUCUCCUUCUCUCCCUCAGUCUCUUCUUCUCUGCAACACGCGCACAGACCACACACGCAGACACCACACACGCACACACCACACACGCAGUCUCUCCUUCUCUCCCUCAGUCUCUCCGUCGUCCGUCCAUCCUUCUCCCUCAGCCUCAAUCUCGAUCCUUCUCUUCCUCAGUCUCUCCGUCCGUCUAUCCUUCGCCCUCAACCUCGAUCUCGAUCCUUCUCCCUCAGUCUCUCCGUCCAUCCUUCUCCCUCAGUCUCUCCAUCCUUCUUCUUCUCCCUCAGUCUCUCGAUCCUUCUCCGGUUCUCCCCCCCAUCAAAUCCGAGCGGGUUUUGGGAUCCGAAGAAAGGGAUUGCUCAUUUUCAGGGUCUGAGCGUGGAUUGCUCAUUUUCGGCUGCCGUUGCGACGACGACGGAGGAUCAUCGGCGAUAUUAUGGCUAAUAUCGCGAUAAUAUCGCUAAUAUCGCGAUAUUAUCGAUAUUAGCGAUAUUAUCACGAUAUUAUUACGAUACUUAACUGUAAACGUUGAAAAUAUCGUUAUAUGAAAAUAACGAUAUUAUCGGCGAUAUUUCGUCGAUAAUAUCGAUAUUUAAAUCCUUGUUGUUAGGAAGAGGAGAAUCAGUGACCUAUUUUUCGCAACUGUAGCAAAGUACCAUUUUCGAACGACAAGAGGAAAUUCUUUUGUUUUGGAAUUCCAAAUAAAAUAAUUUUGCUUAUAUUGCUUUUCAAACUAUUUUGGGAUUGGGGUGUUGUCAAGCAAUUGAGUUACAACGUUGUCUAAUUGAGAGCUACAACGUCAUCACCACUCAUUGCCUAAUAUAAAAGUAUAAUGGCCUCGAUGACCCAGGCAAGGUUGUAAGACAACAAUGAAGGUGAGGUUGGCGCUAGGGGUGGAGUGGUGGUCGAUCAUUAAGGUGGCUGCAGCGGGUUUUGACAAUGGUGGUGGUGACGACGAUGAUAAGGAGCAGAGCCGGUGGCCACAGCGGUAGCAG